GAUGAACGCUGGCGGCGUGCCUAAUACAUGCAAGUCGAGCGAAUGGAUUAAGAGCUUGCUCUUAUGAAGUUAGCGGCGGACGGGUGAGUAACACGUGGGUAACCUGCCCAUAAGACUGGGAUAACUCCGGGAAACCGGGGCUAAUACCGGAUAACAUUUUGAACCGCAUGGUUCGAAAUUGAAAGGCGGCUUCGGCUGUCACUUAUGGAUGGACCCGCGUCGCAUUAGCUAGUUGGUGAGGUAACGGCUCACCAAGGCUACGAUCAGUAUCCGGCCUGAGAGGGCGGACGGACACACUGGGACUGAGACACGGCCCAGACUCCUACGGGAGGCAGCAGUGGGGAAUUGUUCGCAAUGGGCGCAAGCCUGACGACGCAACGCCGCGUGGAGGAUGAAGGUCUUCGGAUUGUAAACUCCUGUUGCUCGGGACGAAAAGCUCUGACCUAACACGUCAGAGUCUGACGGUACCGAGUGAGGAAGCCCCGGCUAACUCUGUGCCAGCCGCCGCCGUAA
rnacentral:rRNA from 1 species